UUUAUCCGACCAUUAUCUUGACUUCAUCUAUAGCUGUAACGUUGUGCACCGUGUGUGAAGCGGGUUACUGUUAUAUUUAGUAAUGUGGGCGUCAUAUUUAGCUUUGGUGGUACAGCAUGUAUUGCAUGUUAACCAUUUUGAUAAAUAUGGAUAAAUUGAUAGUAAUUUUUAAGUUUGCAAGACGAAUGUGGACGAUUGGCAGGUUGUGCGUGUGACACUGUCGUUGUAAUGGGGAGCCUGCUCAAACGCAGUCCACAAUUUGUCCGAGGAAAUCCGCAUCAGUCUGUGCUAAGUGCUGCUAGCCACGUUGCAGGAGCACAUGGCAGUCGGCAUGGCCCUCUGACCCAGUGUCCAUGACUGGAGCUUCGACAAGCCUUCCAUGUUUCCGUAGCUAGAGAACGGUAAUCCGGCCCAUUUCCUCGCCACGUGGCCUGUUCCAGUUUCUGUAAAGAUGCUUCAAUUGAAAUUGCUUUUGAAGUGUUCUGACUGAAGAUGCUGUCUAUCUAAAUAAAAGUCAAUUUAUUGCAGUAUUGCCGUAGUCAUUCUGUGGUAUGCACUUUCUUUGAACCUGUGUGGCCUUAACAAUGGCUGCUUAGGCCAAGCUAUAGUGCAAGAGCAGAAAAAGGCUUGUUUAUAACUGGGGUUUCUUGGCUUUUCUACCAAGUCUCUCUUUUAAAGGCAACCCACAAAUGUAUACCAUGUCAAGAUCCAACGUUUAGAUUUUGAAUGUGAGUUCAUUAACAUCUUAACCCUUCAUUUCUACAUAAACCAGUACUAUUCAGAUCUGUCCACUGAGUUAUGGAACCUUUCAAGAUGAGUUAUAAUGCUGCAGAUGUGUCAUAAGCAUAACCAAAGCUUAAGUAUUUCAAAGAUGGCUACCCAUUUAGAGGAAUAUUUGUUAAAUGAUCAGGUGAUUCA